rnacentral:lncRNA from 1 species
AAAGUGCAGAUGACUGGUGCAGAGAGAGGACUCAGAGGCCCUUGGGGCCCUGGAAUGGGAGGUCAUAGUGGUUUCCACGGAGGCUUUGGCAGUGGCAUUGGGGCCUGGAUAGUGGUUGGGGUCAGGGCCUGGGCCAUGGAGCUUGCAGAGGCAAGGAUGAAGAUGAGGAAUGGAUGCCUGUCACCAAGUUGGGCUACCUGGUCAAGGACAUGAAGAUCAAGUCCCUGGAGGAAAUCUAGCCCUUCUCCUUGACCAUCGAGGAGUCUGAGAUCAUUGACUUUUUCCUGGGGGCAUCUCUCAAGGAUGAGGUUUUGAAGACCACGCCCGUGCAAAAGCAGACCUGCGCUGACCAGCAUACCAGGUUCAAGGUGUGUGUUGCCAUUGGGGACUACAGUGGCCACGUUGGUCUGGGUGUUAAGUGCUCCGAGGAGGUAGCCACGGCCAUCUGAGGGGACAUCACCUGGUCAGGCUCUCCAUUGUCCCUGUGCAGAGAAGCCACUGGGGGAAUAAGAUCAGUUAGCCCCCACACCAUCUCUUGCAAGGUGACAGGCUGCUGUGGCUCUGUGCUGGUGUGCCUUAUCCCUGCCCCACUGAGGCAAUGGCAUCACCUUGGCCCCUGUGCCCAAGAUGCUGCUGAUGGCUAGUACAGACCAGUGCUACACCUCAGCCAGGUCUGCACUGCCACCUGGGCAACUUCGCCAAGGCCACCUUUGGUGCCAUCUCCAAGAAUUAUAGCUAUCUGACCCUCAACCUCUGGAGAGAGACCAUAUUCAUCAAGUUUCCCUAUCAGGAGUUCACUGACCAUCUCAUCAAGACCCAGACCAGAGUCUCUGUGCGGAGGACCCAGGCUCCAGCUAUGUAUA